GACCCUGCCCACGAGGCUCUCGGGCUGGAAGAGGGACGCAGAGACAGAGGGCAAGGAGGGAUGAACACAGGACACAUCUCCUCUCUUUCUCAUGUGGUUGGGACAUCAAGGACUCCAGACGAGAGCACUGAGGCCCAGGGAGGGUCAGUAUGUACCACAGUCUGUCCCCAGGCAGUAGCUCCAAUCUCUGUGCUCUCAGCCAUGGGUGGUGGCUCCCUGUCUCCGUGGGGUUCCUGCACAAAUUGAUGGAGAAUAGGAAAUGUUUGGGCGUCUUGCCGUGCAAUGGUCUACUCUGCAGAGUGGGUUUAAAUCCGGAGCCAAGCCUGAGCUCAGAGCAAGUUCUCAGUUCCAAAUGCUCCCUGGGCUUCCAUCCUCACCAGCAACUCAAGCUGAGACCUCUCCUUGUCAGCUGCAUACAAUUCCCUCACUCACCCUUACUCUGCCGGGACCCCAGCUGCCGGAAAAGCCAGCUGCAGACCAGUGGACCCAACCAACCGUCUAGUAAUACCUUGGGGUCUGAAACUCCCACUUAAUUACAUUCCAGCUAAAUUUUUGUCCAUACUGAUUUUGAGCUGUGAACAUGUGUUCUAGUUUUUCCUCUCUGCCUUAUUCAACUUUCCUGCUUCCAGAGUUUACAACACGUUGCAUAACACCCUCCAGUUCCAUCCACGUCAUUGCAAAUGGCAAGAUCUCAUUUCUUUUGAUGGCUGCAUAAUAUUCCAUUGUAUAUAUGGACCACCUCUUCUUUAUCCCUUCAUCUGUCGAUGGACAUCUGGGCUCUUUCCACAGUUUGGUGCCACAUCUCUUCUGCUAUGCUCGUUGGAGCACUUCAAGCAAAGCGAAGCUAGAGCUCACAGAAAGCAUCUUGCUACUCGAGCAAACAACACGGCACAGAUGAGUCUUGAAGAUGGAGGGAAGAGUUGUCAGAGGUUCUGGAAUUCAGGAAUCUCCUUGUUUGGACAGAGAUGAUCUAUCGCUUCUCGGCCUUUUGGCUAAGAUCAAGUGUGGACAGCGAUGAUCUAGCAGAGAACAUACGGUUUUAAGCCAGCAGACUCCAGAGUAAGGAGAUGUCAGCCCCAGAGAAAAGCAAGUGUUCCAGAAAGGAACAGAGGACAGCUAGAAAAUAAAUCUCGGUGCCUCAAAACUUUGCUGGUGAGAGUAGACUGCAUUCUAGGUGAGCCGCCAUGAGAAGGGUGACCUACUGUUGACUCUGAAAAGCUCUGCCUCUCAGGUGACGUCUGCCGAAAGACAGGACCAGGCAAGUCAGAGGAAAUGUUUGGUUCAUUAAAUAAUUUGCAGUUCUGAAUUUUUUGUUUGUUUUGACUGCACGAACUGCUUCUCUAAAUGGACGUUAGGUUUCUGCAGGCUGGUCCCUUAACCUCUCCCCAGUCUUCCUUGUGCAUUUCAUAUUUGCUUAGUUAUUUUAUGGAUUUGCUGCAGGUGGUUAGCUGUGUGGUACUAAAUGUCAGCUGAGCAUCCUUACACACCCAGGCUGGCUUCUGACUCCGCAUUUUGGAAGUGAUUUGCUUGGGUGGUAAAACAUAUUUUCCCAGAAGACGAACGUCCUAAAAUGGUGGGCUGACUCAAGCCAGACAACGGAAGCCCCUCAU